CACGUAGGGCGCAAGCGUUGUCCGGAAUUAUUGAGCGUAAAGAGUAUGUAGGCGGCCUUACAAGUCAGUUGUGAAAGCCCCGGGCUCAACCUGGGAAGUGCUUCUGAUACUGUUUGGCUUGAAUACUGGAGAGGAUAGUAGAAUUCCAGGUGUAGUGGUGAAAUACGUAGAUAUCUGGAGGAUACCGGUGGCGAAGGCGGCUAU
rnacentral:rRNA from 1 species